rnacentral:sRNA from 1 species
AGAGCUGUUAUAUGUGUGGGUCGAAAGAUAGUGUUAGGUCAAAGAAAACUCUAAGAUUGUGAACUACAUGAACACAAUUAAACCUAAUUUUAAUUAUGCUCUGUAAAUGUAAAGACUAAAAUAUUAUAAUAUGCUGAAUGCCUAACAUGUAACUAAGUGUCUCAAUAACAUCUCUUGCCUUUACCUCAACUGUAGAUCUGUUGGGGCUACAGAAAGUCAGCCUGGAAGCAAGUUCUGUUCUAUUUCAUUGUGGUGUUCACAUUAGGGGCAAUAUUGUUGGUUAUUCGAUGGAAGCCAGAAAUUGGAUGUUACUUGAGAUGGCAGCAUUGCUCACUUCACAAGGCUCAGUAUGUUCUUCUCAAGACACGCUUUGGCACAAAAACUGUCAUCAAAGUGGAAAUAUUAUUUGAACCGAUUGAUGGCCCAGUGAUUUACAGGACAGACACUAGCAUUAGGUAGCCUAUUUCCUAUGACUAAGACUAACAGCAUCUUGAUUUAUAGUUAUUUAUGAACCUCUAAGCUAACUAGAGAAAAAAAAGCUUUUAUUAAAAUGUACAUGUUUUGAAGGAGGAAUGUUUAUUUGCUAGUCCUAAUCUCUUAAUGAAACUAACUGUUAAGAAGUCCUUCUGGUAAUGAUGAUGUGGUCUUCCUAUGGGCUAAUAUGAUUUGUGAACUGCGCCUAAGUUAGUAGUAAUCAUUUUAAUAGAUAUCUUUGCUGUAUGGUUAGUAUACUUGUAGCUCACUAUAGAAGAUCAUUUAGAAAAACAUUUUUUUUCUAAAAUACAGAUAUGAACAGUUAAUAAUCUAAUUGUAAGAUAAAGAAGAAUUUG